rnacentral:rRNA from 1 species
GACGAACGCUGGCGGCGUGCUUAACACAUGCAAGUCGAACGGAAAGGCCCUGCUUUUGUGGGGUGCUCGAGUGGCGAACGGGUGAGUAACACGUGAGUAACCUGCCCUUGACUUUGGGAUAACUUCAGGAAACUGGGGCUAAUACCGGAUAGGAGCUCCUGCUGCAUGGUGGGGGUUGGAAAGUUUCGGCGGUUGGGGAUGGACUCGCGGCUUAUCAGCUUGUUGGUGGGGUAGUGGCUUACCAAGGCUUUGACGGGUAGCCGGCCUGAGAGGGUGACCGGCCACAGUGGGACUGGGAUACGGCCCAGACUCCUACGGGAGGCAGCAGUGGGGAAUAUUGCACAAUGGGCGGAAGCCGGAUGCAGCAACGCCGCGUGCGGGAUGACGGCCUUCGGGUUGUAAACCGCUUUCGCCUGUGACGAAGCGUGAGUGACGGUAAUGGGUAAAGAAGCACCGGCUAACUACGUG